rnacentral:rRNA from 1 species
CCUUGUACACACCGCCCGUCACACCAUGGGAGUUGGUUUUACCCGAAGGACGGCGUGUCGCUAACCGCAAGGAGGCAGGCGACCACGGUAGGGUCAGCGACUGGGGUG